AUUGAACGCUGGCGGCAGGCUUAACACACGCAAGUCGAGCGGAGCAAGGGUGCUUGCACCUUAGCUUAGCGGCGGACGGGUGAGUAAUGCUUAGGAAUCUGCCUAUUAGUGGGGGACAACAUUCCGAAAGGAAUGCUAAUACCGCAUACGCCCUACGGGGGAAAGCAGGGGAUCUUCGGACCUUGCGCUAAUAGAUGAGCCUAAGUCGGAUUAGCUAGUUGGUGGGGUAAAGGCCUACCAAGGCGACGAUCUGUAGCGGGUCUGAGAGGAUGAUCCGCCACACUGGGACUGAGACACGGACCAGACUCCUACGGGAGGCAGCAGUGGGGAAUAUUGGACAAUGGGCGGAAGCCUGAUCCAGCCAUGCCGCGUGUGUGAAGAAGGCCUUUUGGUUGUAAAGCACUUUAAGCGAGGAGGAGGCUACUUAGAUUAAUACUCUGGGAUAGUGGACGUUACUCGCAGAAUAAGCACCGGCUAACUCUGUGCCAGCAGCCGCCGUAACAC
rnacentral:rRNA from 1 species